GAGAAAGGAAGUGGAGAACGUUCUUGCAAGAUGAUCUGUAUUUUCUCUCUAAAGCAGAGUUCAUUUGCUGAGAAUGAUGGAGAAAAUCAGCAUCUAGCUAAUCAGCUGACCAUGAGAUGCAGAGAUUAUCUGGAAUUAUCCAGAUUGGUCCAUUUAAUUACAUGAGUCCUUAAAAGUGGAAAGUGGAAGAAGAGGCAGAAGAGUGUGUCAGAGAGAUGCUGUGUGAAAAGGACUCAACCUGCCACUUGAGGCUUUGAGGCUGGAGAAAGGGGCCAUGAACCAAGGAUUGUGAGCAGCCUGUAAAAUCUGGAAAAGACAAGGCAAUACCCUUUGCUGUCUCAGGGUCAAACAUGCAACUCCUGCCUGCUUGUAUGGCCAGCUGGGUUCAAGAAGGAAGGAACCUCAUUGUUGACAGUUACCAGAUGAAUGUGCCCCUUCUGUACAGCUAAGAAAUGGAAUAGACAUUGGUAACCUUCCACAGGCCCACACAUGUGUUAUCAGCCAUACCUUAGGACAGAAGGAAUGAGUUUGCAGAAAGGAUGAGGAGAUGGGGAUUCACCGUGUUAGCCAGGAUGGUCUUGAUCUCCUGACCUCAUGAUCUGUCUGCUGAGGACUCCCAAAGUGCUGAGAUUACAGGCGUGAGUCACUGUGACUGGACUAGGUAAUACAUUUUUUAUCUUUAGUUGCUUUGAAGAAUUAUUUUAAUCUUUAGUGAUUUUGCAGUUCAUUACAGUAUUUACAGGUACAUAUUUAUUCUCAUAUGUCCUGAUUGAGACUCGAUGAGUUGUUGUUGUUUUUAAUAUAAGUGUUCUUGUCUUUCAUCACUUCUGAGAAAUUAUCUUUGUAUAUUGGGCUUACCACCCUGUUUAACAAAUACUGCAUCUCCUCACUCUCACUCUAGGCCCUAUGUGUCUAGUCUGUACUGUUUUGAAUCUUGUUAUGUUUAUGUGCUGCAUUCUGGGUAAUUCCUCAGUGCUGGGAUUACAAGUGUGAGCCAACCCACCCAGCCAAGAGCAAACUCUAUAGUUAAAGGCAAAUAAUCUCAGGUAUAACAAAAAGAAUAAAUUCAAUUAUAAGAAUCACACCUUAAGCAUAACAAAAAAUAGCUAGUAUUUACCUAGGAAUAAGCACAGUGCUUAGAAUUGUAACUUCUUCAAAUCUCACAAAAGCCUUUUGACAUAGUAUUCAGCUGGGUUGACCUCAUGCUUAUGUCCAGAACUACCUGGAGUAAUCACCCUUGGCCAAUGUUAUAAUAUAUUUUAACUAGUGAUAAAUUAUGUUCUAUAACCAUGUGGAUGCAUCAAUUUGUCAACACUGUUUUGUAAUUGAUGAUUUGCAUCUGUGUUUGGUGCAACCUGGGUAAUUUUUGUAAUUUAGGAUGAUCACAUAGCUGGAAUGUGCCUAUGUGACCACCUCUCUAUAACAGACCCCAUCAUGAACAGACUUUGAGCUUGUUGGUACCAAGAUGCUUUGCAUACAUUUUGAUGGUGAUUCAAAACUAGGAGAACAAGUCAAUUCAGUGCAAUCCAUAGUGAGAAGACAAGCCUGCAUCUGAGAUUUCCAGACCCCUUUCAAUGAAUACCUUUGUUUUGCCAUUGUUGCAUUGUAUCCUUUACCCAUAAUAAAGCUAUUUUGUGAGUAAACACUAUUUGAGUCCUUUCAGCAAACAAACACGAAGAUUAAUAUAAAAUUAAGGCAGAUAUAUACCAUGUUAAUAUCUCUGUUUUAAAAAUGAGAACCCGGAGGCAUGGAGGUGUUAAAAAACUUCCCCCCAGAUAAUACCAUUAUAAAGUGACAGAGCAGGGACUUAACAGGAAGUCUGAGAGCUCAAGACUUGCUGUCUUCCCCACUGCACUACAUUGCAUCUCUGGUGGAACAGAAAAAUUAAAAACAAAAAUGGGAAAAAUAUACUUGGCAAAUAAAUCCUAAGAGGAAACUUGUGUAGCUUUAUAAUUAUUGGACAGAAUAGAUUUUGAGGCAAAAGAUAUUAUAGAGAGAAAAUUUUGCUAAGUAAUUAUACAUAAAAAUACUAAUCAGAAAGAUGUAACAAUUUUGAACACGUGUGCACCUCUAUCAAAACAAUCUUGGCUGCGGGCAGUGGCUCACGCCUGUAAUCCCAGCACUUUGGGAGGCCGAGGCGGGCGGAUCAUGAGGUCAGGAGAUUGAGACCAUCCUGGCUAACACGGUGA
ensembl:lncRNA novel transcript